rnacentral:rRNA from 1 species
AGAGUUUGAUCAUGGCUCAGGACGAACGCUGGCGGCGUGCUUAACACAUGCAAGUCGAACGAACUCGGACUUCGGUCCACAUGAGUGAGUGGCGAACGGGUGAGUAACACGUGAGAAACCUGCCCCAAAGUUUGGAAUAACUCAGGGAAACUUGAGCUAAUACCAGAUGCCCUCUUCCGAUCGCAUGGUCGGAUGAGGAAAGAUUUAUCGCUUUGGGAGGGUCUCGCGGCCUAUCAGCUAGUUGGUGAGGUAAUGGCUCACCAAGGCAUCGACGGGUAGCUGGUUUGAGAGAACGAUCAGCCACACUGGAACUGAGACACGGUCCAGACUCCUACGGGAGGCAGCAGUGGGGAAUCUUGCACAAUGGGCGAAAGCCUGAUGCAGCGACGCCGCGUGGGGGAUGAAGGCCCUAGGGUCGUAAACCCCUUUCAGCAGGGACGAAAAUGACGGUACCUGCAGAAGAAGCCCCGGCCAACUACGUGCCAGCAGCCGCGGUAAGACGUAGGGGGCGAGCGUUGUCCGGAUUUAUUGGGCGUAAAGGGCUCGUAGGCGGUUACGUAAGUCGGAUGUGAAAACUCCAGGCUCAACUUGGAGACGCCAUCCGAUACUGCGUUGACUUGAGUCCGGUAGAGGAGUGUGGAAUUCCUAGUGUAGCGGUGAAAUGCGCAGAUAUUAGGAGGAACACCUAUUGCGAAGGCAGCACUCUGGGCCGGUACUGACGCUGAGGAGCGAAAGCAUGGGUA